rnacentral:rRNA from 1 species
AACUCUUAGCGAGUGAUCACUCGGUCGUGCGUUCGAUGCAAGAACGCAGCUAGCAUGCGAAAUUAAAUGUGAAUUGCAGGAACAUUGUCAUCGACACUUCGAAACGGCACUUGCCCCCGGAGUCUCCUCCCGGAGCUCGCCGUCUGAGCGUCG